rnacentral:rRNA from 1 species
GAUGAACGCUAGCGGCAGGCCUAAUACAUGCAAGUCGAACGAUAUUACCCAGCUUGCUGGGUAUGAAAGUGGCGCACGGGUGCGUAACGCGUAUGCAACCUACCUUAUUCAGGGGGAUAGCCCGAAGAAAUUCGGAUUAACACCGCAUAAAAUCACAGUUCAGCAUUGGACAAUGAUCAAAUAUUUAUAGGAAUAGAUGGGCAUGCGUGUCAUUAGCUAGUUGGCGGGGUAACGGCCCACCAAGGCGACGAUGACUAGGGGAUCUGAGAGGAUGACCCCCCACACUGGUACUGAGACACGGACCAGACUCCUACGGGAGGCAGCAGUAAGGAAUAUUGGUCAAUGGAGGCAACUCUGAACCAGCCAUGCCGCGUGCAGGAAGACGGCCCUCUGGGUUGUAAACUGCUUUUAUUCGGGAAUAAACCUAUUUACGUGUAAAUAGCUGAAUGUACCGAAGGAAUAAGGAUCGGCUAACUCCGUGCCAGCAGCCGCCGUAA